UCUCCAACCCCUGUGACAUACCACUUGUUGCCUCGGCGGAUCAGCCCGCUCCCGGUAAAACGGGACGGCCCGCCAGAGGACCCCUAAACUCUGUUUCUAUAUGUAACUUCUGAGUAAAACCAUAAAUAAAUCAAAACUUUCAACAACGGAUCUCUUGGUUCUGGCAUCGAUGAAGAACGCAGCAAAAUGCGAUAAGUAAUGUGAAUUGCAGAAUUCAGUGAAUCAUCGAAUCUUUGAACGCACAUUGCGCCCGCCAGUAUUCUGGCGGGCAUGCCUGUUCGAGCGUCAUUUCAACCCUCAAGCACAGCUUGGUGUUGGGACUCGCGUUAAUUCGCGUUCCCCAAAUUGAUUGGCGGUCACGUCGAGCUUCCAUAGCGUAGUAGUAAAACCCUCGUUACUGGUAAUCGUCGCGGCCACGCCGUUAAACCCCAACUUCUGAAUGUUGACCUCGGAUCAGGUAGGAAUACCCGCUGAACUUAAGCAUAUCAAUAAGCGGAGGA
rnacentral:rRNA from 1 species